rnacentral:rRNA from 1 species
CCUACGGGGGGCAGCAGUGGGGAAUAUUGCACAAUGGGGGAAACCCUGAUCCAGCGACGUCGCGUGAGUGAAGAAGUAAUUCGUUACGUAAAGCUCUAUCAGUAGGGAAGAAACACUGACCUUACGGUCAGCAGACGGUACCUGAUUAAGAAGCGCCGGCUAACUACGUGCCAGCAGCCGCGGUAAUACGUAGGGGGCAAGCGUUAUCCGGAUUUACUGGGUGUAAAGGGAGCGUAGACGGUGCGCCAAGUCUGGAGUGAAAUGCCGCAGCUUAACUGCGGAACUGCUGUGGAAACUGGCGAACUAGAGUGCAGGAGGGGUAAGCGGAAGUCCUAGUGUAGCGGUGAAAUGCGUAGAUAUUAGGAGGAACGCCGGUGGCGAAGGCGGCUUACUGGACCGUAACUGACGUUGAGGCUCGAAAGCGUGGGGAGCAAACAGGAUUAGAUACCCUUGUAGUC